UGGGGAAUCAUGGUCAAUGGGCGAAAGCCUGAACCUGCGACGCCGCGUGAGUGAUGAAGGUCGUAAGAUCGUAAAACUCUUUUCAGGGAUCUUAAAGCCUGUCUGUCAACAACAGGCAGGUCUGACUCUCCCUGGAAGAAGCCCCAGCCAACUACGUGCCAGCAGCUGCGGUAAUACGUAGGGGGCGAGCGUUAUUCGGAAUUACUGGGUGUAAAGGGUAGGUAGGCGGCCCUUCAAGUCGCGUGUCAAAGUCCAGUGCUCAACGCUGGGUGUGCGCGCGAGACUGACGGGCGUGAGGGCUGGAGAGGUGAGCGGAAUUCCCGGUGUAGUGGUAAAAUACGUAGAGAUCGGGAGGAACACCAGCGGCGCAGGCGGCUCACUAGACAGUUUCUGACGCUAAGAUACGAAAGCGUGGGGAGCAAACA
rnacentral:rRNA from 1 species